GGAAUGGAUUCUGGAAAUCUGAAUGGAAACUUGUGUACCACCAAUCUCAAGCUGAAGUUAGAGGUACAAUUAAGGUGCAGGCUCAUUACUUUGAGGAGGGUAGCAUUAAUUUAACCACCAGUACUGAAGUACAUCAGCAGCUUUCACUGAAUAAUGAAUAUGAAGGAGCUACAGAGUUUGUGAAAGUUAUUGAAAAUGCUGAUGCAGAAUUCCAG